GACAAGUCUAACACCUCCAACUUAGCCAAUCUCGAUAAAUCAGGUAUCGUACCAUUCAUGUUAUUGUCAGUAACAUUCAAUACUUUGAGAUUGGCGCAAUCCGCCAAUUCACUUGGAAGAUUUCCAGACAGUUGAUUUGAAGGAAGCACUAGUGAAGUAAGGCUUUGAAGGACAGAUAUUGAAGGGGAAAUAACUCCAGAAAGUGACUUAUUGUCAAGUGAAAUCU
rnacentral:misc_RNA from 1 species